rnacentral:rRNA from 1 species
GAUGAACGCUGGCGGCGUGYUUAACACAUGCAAGUCGAACGGGGAACAAAUUAUUGAAGCUUCGGCAGAUCUAGCUUGUUCCUAGUGGCGGACGGGUGAGUAAYGCGUGGGUAACCUSCCUCACACUGGGGGAUAACAGUCAGAAAUGGCUGMUAAUWCCGCAUAAGCGCACAGUACCGCAUGGUACAGUGUGAAAAACUCCGGUGGUGUGAGAUGGACCCGCGUUGGAUUAGCUAGUUGGCAGGGCAGCGGCCUACCAAGGCGACGAUCCAUAGCCGGCCUGAGAGGGUGAACGGCCACAUUGGGACUGAGACACGGCCCAGACUCCUACGGGAGGCAGCAGUGGGGAAUAUUGCACAAUGGGGGAAACCCUGAUGCAGCGACGCCGCGUGAAGGAAGAAGUAUCUCGGUAKG